CUAAAUACUCCUGACUGACCGAUAGUGAACCAGUACCGUGAGGGAAAGGCGAAAAGAACCCCGGCGAGGGGAGUGAAAAAGAACCUGAAACCGUGUACGUACAAGCAGUGGGAGCACGCUUCGGCGUGUGACUGCGUACCUUUUGUAUAAUGGGUCAGCGACUUAUAUUCUGUAGCAAGGUUAACCGAAUAGGGGAGCCGAAGGGAAACCGAGUCUUAACUGGGCGUUAAGUUGCAGGGUAUAGACCCGAAACCCGGUGAUCUAGCCAUGGGCAGGUUGAAGGUUGGGUAACACUAACUGGAGGACCGAACCGACUAAUGUUGAAAAAUUAGCGGAUGACUUGUGGCUGGGGGUGAAAGGCCAAUCAAACCGGGAGAUAGCUGGUUCUCCCCGAAAGCUAUUUAGGUAGCGCCUCGUGAAUUCAUCUCCGGGGGUAGAGCACUGUUUCGGCAAGGGGGUCAUCCCGACUUACCAACCCGAUGCAAACUGCGAAUACCGGAGAAUGUUAUCACGGGAGACACACGGCGGGUGCUAACGUCCGUCGUGAAGAGGGAAACAACCCAGACCGCCAGCUAAGGUCCCAAAGUCAUGGUUAAGUGGGAAACGAUGUGGGAAGGCCCAGACAGCCAGGAUGUUGGCUUAGAAGCAGCCAUCAUUUAAAGAAAGCGUAAUAGCUCACUGGUCGAGUCGGCCUGCGCGGAAGAUGUAACGGGGCUAAACCAUG
rnacentral:rRNA from 1 species